GUUGGGGCUGCAGCUCAGUGGUAGAGUGCCUACCUCACACGUGUGAGGCACUGGGUUCAAUCCUCAGCACAACA
rnacentral:tRNA from 1 species